rnacentral:rRNA from 1 species
UACAGAGGUCUCAAGCGUUGUUCGGAUUCAUUGGGCGUAAGGGUGCGUAGGCGGCGCGGUAAGUCGGGUGUGAAAUCUCGGGGCUUAACUCCGAAACUGCAUUCGAUACUGCCGGUGCUUGAGGACUGGAGAGGAGACUGGAAUUUACGGUGUAGCGGUGAAAUGCGUAGAUAUCGUAAGGAAGACCAGUGGCGAAGGCGGGUCUCGUGGACAGUUCC